GACGAACCGUGCGAACGUUGUUCGGAUUCACUGGGCUUAAAGGGCGCGUAGGCGGGCGGUCAAGUCAGGGGUGAAAUCUUUCGGCUCAACCGGAAAAGUGCCUUUGAUACUGGCCGUCUUGAGGGAGGUAGGGGCAUGCGGAACUUCCGGUGGAGCGGUGAAAUGCGUAGAUAUCGGAAGGAACGCCGGUGGCGAAAGCGGCGUGCUGGACCUCUUCUGACGCUGAGGCGCGAAAGCCAGGGGAGCAAACGGG
rnacentral:rRNA from 1 species